rnacentral:rRNA from 1 species
UGGGGAAUAUUGCGCAAUGGGCGGAAGCCUGACGCAGCGACGCCGCGUGGGGGAUGACGGCCUUCGGGUUGUAAACCUCUUUCAGCAGGGACGAAGCGAGAGUGACGGUACCUGCAGAAGAAGCACCGGCCAACUACGUGCCAGCAGCCGCGGUAAUACGUAGGGUGCAAGCGUUGUCCGGAAUUAUUGGGCGUAAAGAGCUCGUAGGCGGUCUGUCGCGUCGGCGGUGAAAACUCGGGGCUCAACUCCGAGCCUGCCGUCGAUACGGGCAGACUAGAGUGCGGUAGGGGAGACUGGAAUUCCUGGUGUAGCGGUGAAAUGCGCAGAUAUCAGGAGGAACACCGGUGGCGAAGGCGGGUCUCUGGGCCGUAACUGACGCUGAGGAGCGAAAGCGUGGGGAGCAAAC